rnacentral:rRNA from 1 species
AGUACCGUGAGGGAAAGGUGAAAAGCACCCCGAUGAGGGGAGUGAAACAGUACCUGAAACGGAUUGCCUACAAGCAGUUGGAGCCCCCUUGAGGGGUGACAGCGUACCUCUUGCAUAAUGGGUCAGUGACUUAAUGUAUCAAAGCAAGCUUAAGCCGUUAGGUGUAGGCGCAGCGAAAGCGAGUCUGAAUAGGGCGAUUUAGUUUGAUGUAUUAGACCCGAAACCCGGCGAUCUAGGCAUGACCAGGAUGAAGGUGCGGUAACACGCACUGGAGGUCCGANCCGAUUAACGUUGAAAAGUUACCGGAUGAGUUGUGUUUAGGGGUGAAAGGCCAAUCAAGCCGGGAAAUAGCUGGUUCUCUCCGAAAUAACUUUAGGGUUAGCCUCGUGACAGCCGUGACGGAGGUAGAGCACUGAAUGAGCUAGGGGCGUUCCAACGCUACUGAACUCAAUCAAACUCCGAAUACCUACAAGUGCAAUCACGGGAGACAGACAUCGGGUGCUAACGUCCGGUGUCAAGAGGGAAACAACCCGGACCUACAGCUAAGGCCCCUAAUUCGUGGCUAAGUGGGAAAGGAUGUGGGAAUCCCAAAACAACCAGGAGGUUGGCUUAGAAGCAGCCAU